AUUAAUAUAAAUAGGUAGUAAAUAAAUAUCAAACCAAUUAAUAUUUGGCGGUUAUAAUAUAUUAGAGAAACUUGUUUUAUAAUCGAUAAUACCCGAUAAUUUUAACUUAAUAAACAAAUUUAUAUAUCGCCGUUAACAGAAAUAAACAAAACUCAAGUUCAAAAUCAAUUUAAUUACAAAAUUCAGGUCAAGGUGUAAUUUACAAUUAAGGAAAAAUUAGUUACAUAUAAAUCCAAUAAUUUAAGGAUAUACUUAAUAUAUUUUUUAAGAAAAAGAAUCUACAAUUAAAUUUCAAUUAAAAAUUGAAUUAUAAAAUUUCAAUUAUAAUGU
rnacentral:rRNA from 1 species